AGUAAAGAAGUAAUUUCUACAUUUAGUUUCGACCUAAAAAUUAAACACAUGUUCAUACUUUA
rnacentral:tRNA from 1 species